GUUGGAAUGAGCAGCUUGGGAAAGCAAUGAGAAGGCAUGAAGAAAGGACUUCCCGAAGUGGGUGCACUAGCAGUAUAACCCAAAAAGAGGUAGAGCUAGAGACCUUGGUUUCUGCAGAAAGAUCUCCAGACCUUCAGAGAAAACAUCUCACCUCAGAAGGUAUUCACUGGCCAGAUGCCACAUUCUCCUUGAAGUCAGGCUGCCCCACUGAACUCACUGGCUUUGAAGCAGAGUAAGGCCUGCUCAGGAACCCAGCGGGAAGUCUUGUGUCUGUGACCUGGGCCCCCAUGGUUAGAGUCAGGAGAUUAGAGUGUCCUUGCUCCAAAGCCAGAGAUACAGACCCAGAUUACUC
rnacentral:lncRNA from 1 species